AAUUUUGAAAUGACAUAACUUUGCCCUGGUCAUCUAACAAAUCUUGCACUGUCCAAAUUCCCGCAUUUGCCCAGUUUUUAUAGUAGACUCUUGAACCACCAAUUUUAAAGUUUUCUACCUCCCAUAAAGAAUACGAUAGAAUUUCAUCAAUACAUCUUGGUUUUCUAAUUUGAUUAAGGGUUUUCCAAGCAUCAAAAACCUCUUGCCAAAAUUUAUUUGAUGACCUUUUAAUAGGCCCAAUAUAACUUAUUUCAAUAAAAUUUAUUUGCUCCACAAUAGAGACUAAU
rnacentral:lncRNA from 1 species